rnacentral:rRNA from 1 species
UUCUUUGGAGAGUUUGAUCCUGGCUCAGGACGAACGCUGGCGGCGUGCCUAAUACAUGCAAGUCGAGCGCAGGAAAUCGGCGGAACCC